rnacentral:rRNA from 1 species
UACGUAGGGUGCGAGCGUUAAUCGGAAUUACUGGGCGUAAAGUGUGCGCAGGCGGCCGCGCAAGUCGAGUGUGAAAGCCCCGGGCUUAACUUGGGAAUUGCGCUCGAAACUACGUGGCUAGAGUGUGGCAGAGGGAGGUGGAAUUCCACGUGUAGCGGUGAAAUGCGCAGAUAUCAGGAGGAACACCGGUGGCGAAGGCGGGUCUCUGGGCCGAUACUGACGCUGAGGAGCGAAAGCGUGGGGAGCGAACAGG